AUUGAACGCUGGCGGCAUGCCUUACACAUGCAAGUCGAACGGUAACAGGUUAAGCUGACGCGUGGCGCACGGGCGAGUAACGUAUCGGUAACUGCUCAGUCGUGGGGGAUAACUGCUCGAAAGAGCAGCUAAUACCGCAUACGAUCCGAGGGUGAAUGCGGGGCAGCGCAAGACCUCGGGCGAUUGGAGCGUCCGAUAUCAGAUUAGGUAGUUGGUGAGGUAAAGGCUUACCAAGCCGACGAUCUGUAGCUGGUCUGAGAGGACGAUCAGCCACACUGGGACUGAGACACGGCCCAGACUCCUACGGGAGGCAGCAGUGGGGAAUUUUGGACAAUGGGCGCAAGCCUGAUCCAGCCAUGCCGCGUGCGGGAAGAAGGCCUUCGGGUUGUAAACCGCUUUUGUCAGGGAAGAAAAGGUUCUGGCUAAUACCUGGAACUCAUGACGGUACCUGAAGAAUAAGCACCGGCUAACUACGUG
rnacentral:rRNA from 1 species